UACGGUAGGGGCAGUCGUUGUCCGGAAUCAUUGGGCGUAAAGAGCGUGUAGGCGGUCCGGUAAGUCGGCUGUGAAAGUCCAGGGCUCAACCCUGGGAUGCCGGUCGAUACUGCCGGACUAGAGUUCGGAAGAGGCGAGUGGAAUUCCCGGUGUAGCGGUGAAAUGCGCAGAUAUCGGGAGGAACACCUAUGGCGAAGGCAGCUCGCUGGGACGUUACUGACGCUGGAGACGCGAAAGCGUGGGGAGCGAACAGG
rnacentral:rRNA from 1 species